CAGGUGGUGUCAUGGUUGUCGUCAGCUCGUGUCGUGAGAUGUUGGUUAAGUCCCGCAACGAGCGCAACCCUUACGAGUAGUUGCUACGCAAGAGCACUCUACUAGGACUGCCGUUGACAAAACGGAGGAAGGUGGGGAUGACGUCAAGUCAGCAUGGCCUUUAUGUCCUGGGCUACACACACGCUACAAUGGCCAGUACAAUUGGUAGCUAAGCCGCGAGGUGGAGCCAAUCCGUAAAAGCUGGCCUCAGUUCAGAUUGUAGGCUGCAACCCGCCUGCAUGAAGAUGGAGUUGCUAGUAACCGCAGGUCAGCAAUACUGCGGUGAAUACGUUCCCGGGUCUU
rnacentral:rRNA from 1 species